rnacentral:rRNA from 1 species
UACGUAGGGGGCAAGCGUUGUCCGGAAUUAUUGGGCGUAAAGAGCGCGUAGGCGGUCCGAUAAGUCGGCUGUGAAAGUCAGGGGCUCAACCCUUGGAAGCCGGCCGAUACUGUCGGACUAGAGUCCGGAAGAGGCGAGUGGAAUUCCCGGUGUAGCGGUGAAAUGCGCAGAUAUCGGGAGGAACACCGGUGGCGAAGGCGGUUCUCUGGGCCUUACCUGACGCUGAGGAGCGAAAGCGUGGGGAGCGAACAGG